rnacentral:tRNA from 1 species
UGGGUAGAAGCUGAAGUAUAAAAGCGUCUAGCUGUUAAUUAGAAGGUUGUAGAAGUAAAAAUUUACCUACCCAG